rnacentral:rRNA from 1 species
AGUGAACGCUGGCGGUAGGCCUAACACAUGCAAGUCGAACGGCAGCACAGUAAGAGCUUGCUCUUACGGGUGGCGAGUGGCGGACGGGUGAGGAAUACAUCGGAAUCUACUUUUUCGUGGGGGAUAACGUAGGGAAACUUACGCUAAUACCGCAUACGACCUACGGGUGAAAGCAGGGGAUCUUCGGACCUUGCGCGAUUGAAUGAGCCGAUGUCGGAUUAGCUAGUUGGCGGGGUAAAGGCCCACCAAGGCGACGAUCCGUAGCUGGUCUGAGAGGAUGAUCAGCCACACUGGAACUGAGACACGGUCCAGACUCCUACGGGAGGCAGCAGUGGGGAAUAUUGGACAAAGGGCGCAAGCCUGAUCCAGCCAUACCGCGUGGGUGAAGAAGGCCUUCGGGUUGUAAAGCCCUUUUGUUGGGAAAGAAAAGCAGCAGGUUAAUACCCCGCUGUUCUGACGGUACCCAAAGAAUACGCACCGGCUAACUUCGUG